CUCCAUAGAUUCCACGAUUAGUCUAUUUUCAUAGUACUAUGCAUUCUGCCAGUAAUAUAUCCUUAAACAUUCUGCAAGAAUUCCAGUUAAUAGCAAAGCAAAACCAACCUAAAAAUAUGGUAUAAUUGAUUCUAAAAGAGUCAAAAUCAUCUUCGUUAAGGUGAGAAAUGCAACAAUAAAGACAAGGAUUACUGAUACCCCCUUUUCUCAUCUAUCAACCUUUUACCAAACCACAUUAAAACUAACCAAUCCAAUUCAAAAUAUUCUGAUCUUAAUCACCCUUAUAAUUUAUCUAGCUCAUCGGUAACAAAUAAGCUAAUAUACUAAUACCCAAUCGAUGAUAAUCAUGAUUUCAAAACAAAGAUCUUAGUAAAAUAUACAAUUUAAGGGAGCAUUUUAUUAUGAUUAUUCAUAUAUUAAUCCAACUAAUAGUGAUACUUGGACAGUGUUAGAAGAUGUGAAAGUAGAUGAUGAGCAUGAUGAUGAGGAAGAACAAAAGAUCAAGAAACAAGCAGCAACAAAAGAAUUUAUGCAACAAAAUAAACACAAAGCAUAAACGUAAACACACACACAAACAUGGACAUAUAAACAGAAUCAACAGAAAUAUAUACCAUCAAUCCUCCUGGAAAAACAGCCACCAAUCAGCAAACCAUCUUUGUCCCGGAACUUUCGGAGCUCCGACCGGAACAGAGGGGGCCAAAUUAGACUUCAAGACAGAGUAGACUGGGUGUGUUACGUGUGUAGGUGUGGAGAUUACUCUGGCCGUUGAAAAAUCGGGCAGCGCGUAAUGACUUCCAAUUACUUGAAUGCAUAAAGUAACCAAAGUUGGAACAGGUUUUCGCUUCUCAACUGUUAAUAUGGGCGAUUGGAUAGUAUGGGCACUGGUAGACUUAUUGGAAUUAGGGUUCAAAUUAAGCUUCUGGAACGACGUCUGCAGAGCUUUCCCUUUAUCCAUUCAGUAAGACAAGAGCGCUCUUCCG
rnacentral:lncRNA from 1 species